AAGUCGUAACAAGGUCUCCGUAGGUGAACCUGCGGAGGGAUCAUUAAAGAGUUAGAGGGCUUAAAAUACCCUCAAACCUCCAACCCUUUGUUGUACUUAUCCAUGUUGCCUCGGGGGGACGAUUCAUCGAAUCCCCGGUGGAAUUUAUCAUAACUCUGUUUUUUAUUUACAAGUCUGAAGUAAAAAUUAUAAAUUAUACAAAA
rnacentral:misc_RNA from 1 species